CCUACGGGUGUCAGCAGUGAGGAAUAUUGGUCAAUGGGCGCGAGCCUGAACCAGCCAAGUAGCGUUAAGGAUGACUGCUCUACUGGUUGUAAACUUCUUUUAUAAAGGAAUAAAGUGAGGCACGUGUUCCUUUUUGUAUGUACUUUCUGAAUAAGGAUCGGCUAACUCCGUGCCAGCAGCCGCGGUAAUACGGAGGAUGCGAGCGUUAUGCGGAUUUAUUGGGUUUAAAGGGAGCGUAGAGGGUUUGUUAAGUCAGUGGUGAAAGUUUGCGGCUCAACCGUAAAAUUGCAAUUGAUACUGGCAGUCUUGAGUACAGUUGAGGUAGGCGGAAUUCGUGGUGUAGCGGUGAAAUGCUUAGAUAUCACGAAGAACUCCGAUUGCGAAGGCAGCUUACUAAACUGCAACUGACAUUGAUGCACGAAAGCGUGGGGAUCAAACAGGAUUAGAUACCCGAGUAGUC
rnacentral:rRNA from 1 species